rnacentral:lncRNA from 1 species
UUUUCCUAAGAGCAUGUGAGUCUCCCACGGUCACUGCCAAAAGGUCAGGCUCUUUUUUUAAAUAAGGGGUUAUUAAGAGAACUGUGCAUGGCAAAAAAGAGGAAAUCCCUUGAUUAAACAAUUAUAGCUCACUUCCUGUUUAAGAUUUACACAUUUGUAAGCAUCUAAUUAUAUUUAUUUCUUACUAUAACCAGGUUUGAGUAAUCUUAAAACAUCAACUGAAUUGCCUAAGUCAGCCAAUAAUUAAAAUUCUUUUGCCAAUAUGAUUUGGAUAAAAAGUCAAACACUUCAUUUAAAAUUUAUGUGAGGCACAUUCAUAAGAAUACACUAAUUUCUCAUUCAGAUUUCAAAUUGAAUCAAUUUAAUGACUGCCGAUAGCAAAGCAAUAGAAAUGCAAAGAAAGAUAGUCCUACAAUGGACAAUUACCCAAAGUUCCUGUCAUGUUUUAUGAAUCAACAAUUGUCUCCAAACUUGUGAAAGAAAUCAAUGUUCAUUAGUUUCUAGAAUCUUAAACCUAUCUAUUCUAAACUAUAAAAAAUGAGUACAAUUAGACAUACAAUUUAAAGAAUCCAUCAAUUUGAAUGAACCCAAAGAACGAACUUCUGUAUGAUCCCGUGUUCCUUUUCAAGGCAGCACAACUCUGAAGGCUGACUGGUUUACCACUGUUUCUUCUCCUUUGUGUUCAUGUUCUUUAUCAGCCAAACAGUUACAAUGGCCUUUCAGACUUCAGUGAUAAAGGACAAAACAACAUAGUCCCAUUCGAAAAUAUGAAUGGCCUUGGACACAGCUCCAAAAAGCAAACUGCAUCGGUUAUGCCAGAGCAGAAAUAACCCCCAGUAAUACUAUCAAAUUCUAAAAUUAAGGAAAAGAAGGGGGAGAAGUAAAAGUAGAGAAGGCGAAAAAGAGGAUGAUGGGGAAGAGGCAAUUCCAACCUAUAAAGAAAGAAACAACUUCAACAUAUAAAUAAUGAAAAGUGAAAAUUCACUCCUAUGACUUUUCUUACUGUCUUCCUCUAAAAACACUAAAUGCCAGGGCUCCGUGUAGAAUCAAUGACAUUACAUUAUUUCUACCAAGUGGUAAGCAAAAUCACUCCAGUUUUACUUCCUGCCUCUUCUAACCCUCGACUCACGUCUACAGAACCUGUCUGAGGGGCAUCUCUGACUCAGACUCAAAAGUCUGCACUUCCAAAACCCUCCAGCAAUGUCAAUGAACAGUUCCUGGUCACAGUGGUUCCUGUUGGUUAUCCUAAAAAGGAGAGAACCUGCACGGCACAGAAUUCAGUCUGAUUUAUGAAAAAGACAAAACAGGACUAGUGACAAUAUCACUGUUAUGAACAAGUAUUCUACAAAACAAUAGUCCCAAACCCUGUCCUAGCGCCCUAGUCUCAUUAUGCCCAAUCCUAACCAUGCCAUGUAAAACUGACAGCUCCUAACACUCACCAUCCCUCUCAUGGAGCUCGGUUUUCUCUAUGGUUGUUCUCAGCCUCAAAACACGAGAGGAGUUUUUGCUUGAAUAGAAGCUCUACAGGGGUGGCAUAUUGGUCCGUUUAGCUCACUAAUAUACCCUCAUGCCUGGCACAUAAAACAUCGAAAACAUUCAGUAAACAUUGGUUAAAUGAAUGAAUCCUUCAUUAAGCUAAAUGAUUUCUUUUUUGUUAAGGUUUUAUUUAUUUAUUCAUGAGAGACACAGAGAAAGAGGCAGAGACAUAGGCAGAGGGAGAAGCAGGCUCCCUGCGGGGAGCCCAAUGUGGAACUUGAUCCCAGGACCUCGGGAUCAUGACCUGAGUCAAAGACAGCUGUUCAACCGCUGAGCCACCCAGGUGUCCCAGCUAAAUGAUUUCUUAAAGCUCUUCUUAUUCAAGCAGAAAAGGCAAAAAUUAGGCAGAGAAUCUUUAAAGAGUUAUAAUAGGACAGAUAAAGGGUUCUAACAUUUACUAUAAAAAGCCUAUUCACAUUUAUUAAGGAGAAACACACACACACACACACACACACACACACACACACACACACACACGAAAGCGCUGACUCAGCAACUGCUAAGAAGAACAGGAAAAGGUUAAUCAACAUUUGGGGAAAACUCACUAACAUCAAACACUAAAACAAAACAAUAGGUCUUCCUUCAAGUAAUUAGCAAAGAUUUCUAAAACUAAGAUUCCCCAAGGCAACAAACAGCACAGAAAGAUGCUCAUUUCCCAGGCAGCAGCAGUGAGCGGAAAACCACCACAGUGAUUUCGAAAUAAGACUGUGAACUGAAUGAUGUUCCUGUCUCUAAUCCAGGAAUUGUCAUUGUGAAACCUCAUUCCAAAGCAAUACCCAAAUACAGACAAGAUCAAAGAUGUUCAUCAAGGCAUUAUUUACAAUACAAGAGCCAAAUUCUGGAAACAAUCCAGAGGAUUAGCAAUGGAGAUACAGUUCAGUCAAUUUUGGUACAUCCACUAAAUCAACUACUCUACCGCCUUUAAAAUGUAUGCUUGAAGAAUUUUUAUAAAGACCAAAAAGUGAAAUAAAUAAAAGCAAGCUAAAUCUGUUCUGAACCAUGCAGGGCAUCGUAAAAGGCAGGCAGAAGAUAUUAUCAAAAGUCAAAGCUAUUUAUCUCUGAGUGGUAGGAUUAUAGGUGAAUUUUGUUCUCUAAACUAUACUUUUAUGGAUUUUCUUAUUUAUUAAAAUAAACAUGUUCUAUCUUUAUAGCAGAAGAAAGUUUAAUGAAAGAAAGAUUUCAUGGAAGACUUGGGAUAAAAUACACUUUUAAGAGUUGUCAUUAUUAGCAAGAAGACGAAGAAUAAAGUCUUAGGGGGGUAAAAAGCAGCAGACGUUAGCACUAUUUGAAAAAACACAGAAGCAGCAUUUUUAAGAAAUAGAACACCCUUAAUCCCUUUUAAAUAAAAAACAGCAAAUAGAAAACCACAGCUCUGAAUAACUGCUAUAAGGUCCUUUCAUUCCAAAAUUAUAUUCUUACGAUUUUUCUUUUAAAAUUCAAUCUGAAAUUUGACAGGGAACCUUGCACGUUUUAUUUCCUAACUCAAAUAGCUGUUGAAGAGGAACAAACCUGAAAAGAGAAAAUCAAGACAUUUGUGGCAUCAGCACUGUCCUUUGCUACGAACAUAAACUCAAAUUAUUGAUAAGACUUUUCAAUAAAUUAGCCAAAUAUAGUUAGUCCCUGAUCAGAGUGAUAAAUCAUCUGCUAGGAAAAGGCUAAAUUUAUAAAAACUACUCUACCGCCUUUAAAAUGUAUCUCUAUCUUUAUGAAUGGUCAGAAGAAAAGAACUACCCAAGCUCUUACAGAAGCCCCUUUUCUUAAUCUCUACAGGCGGAGUU